UGAAGCGGCAACAGCUCAAAUUUGAAAUCUGGCCCUCUGGGUCCGAGUUGUAAUUUGUAGAGGAUGCUUUUGGCGCGGCGCCUUCCGAGUUCCCUGGAACGGGACGCCAUAGAGGGUGAGAGCCCCGUACGGUUGGAUGCCAAACCUUUGUAAAGCUCCUUCGACGAGUCGAGUAGUUUGGGAAUGCUGCUCAAAAUGGGAGGUAAAUUCCUUCUAAAGCUAAAUACCGGCCAGAGACCGAUAGCGCACAAGUAGAGUGAUCGAAAGAUGAAAAGCACUUUGAAAAGAGGGUUAAACAGUACGUGAAAUUGUUGAAAGGGAAGCGCCUGUGACCAGACUUGGUCCCGGGGGAUCAUCCGGCGUUCUGCGCCGGUGCACUCCGCCGGGYUCCAGGCCAGCAUCGGUUCUCCCAGGGGGAUAAAAGCCGCGGGAACGUAGCUCCUUAGGGAGUGUUAUAGCCCGUGGCAUAAUGCCCUUGGGGGGACCGAGGACCGCGCUUCGGCAAGGAUGCUGGCGUAAUGGUCACUAGCGACCCGUCUUGAAACACGGACCAAGGAGUGAAGCAUUAGGGCGAGUGUCUGGGUGUUAAACCCGCACGCGUAAUGAAAGUGAAUGGAGGUGAGAGCUUCGGCGCAUCAUCGACCGAUCCUGAAGUAUUCGGAUGGAUUUGAGUAAGAGCCUUACCGCUUCGACCCGAAAGUUGAUGAACUAUGCCUGUAUAGGGUGAAGCCAGAGGAAACUCUGGUGGAGGCUCGCAGCG
rnacentral:rRNA from 1 species